rnacentral:tRNA from 1 species
GGGCCGGUGGCGCAAUUGGCAGCGCGCCUCCAUGGCAUGGAGGAGGUUGAGAGUUCGAGACUCUUCCGGUCCACCA